UCGUGCUAGAUGGGAUGGUAGCGGCGUCCUGUAACUCGCAAUCCGCUUAGCGAGAUUGAAUUCCUCUGAGGAGGGCGAUAAUAGGGAUGGCAGCCAGAAGUAAGUGAUGUUGAGGUUUGGGUCCUGCGCAAUGAAUCUUCAUGAACUAUGUCAGGUCCGGAAGGAAGCAGCAUUAAGUGAAUCAAUUCAUGUGCCGUGGGGUUGCCUGGGCGGAGUUAACUGCUUGUGUAACGCAUUUUUAUUACGUUCGAACAGAGGUGCACGA
rfam:Brochothrix campestris FSL F6-1037 c49, whole genome shotgun sequence.